rnacentral:lncRNA from 1 species
AUCAAUUACACAAUUGGCCAAAUUAUAUGAAGCAAUAAGCAUAAAAGAUAAUCAAUUGAAACUAAUUCAUCAUUCAAUUAGAGGAAAUAAAUUUACAUGAUCCAAUCAAGGUGACCUAGAUUCAGCUAAAGAUCCAAUCUAAGAAAAUUUUGAAAUCCAUGGAAAGAUGGAAGGAAUCAGUGGAUCAUAGAGAUGAAUUCAUCAUGGAUUUAACUUGGAUCUUGAUUCUUCAAUCAAAAUCUUUGGUAGCAAGGAUUGGAACACAACUUUUUCUCAAACUUCUGUAAAAAUUCGCAACCUUCUUCAAGAAAAUGAGUUUGCUUUAUAUAGAAUUCCCGCUGGCGCAACGCGUCAGAUCUGUCGUGCCAUGUACAGGCCAAAUUACGAGCAAGGUGCCACGCGCUAGAUGAAUAUGAGCCACGCGCCGGAUGAACAAUCAACACGCGCCACGCGCAUAAAACAUAUACUCCUCAAGACAAUUCCUCAUAGCCCGGCGCCGCGCGCCACCAAACCAUGCGCCCCGCGCCGCGCACAGAGAACAUAUCUAAUUUCUUCAAAAACUCUUCAAAUCUUCACCUAGUUUUAUAAGAGAUUUGAAAGAGAGAAAAAUAUUGGUUCUCAUAAACCAAGAUCAGAAACAAUCUGACCAACAAAAGAAGUUGAAGCAAUUGUCUUGCACUUGCAU